rnacentral:lncRNA from 1 species
AAGCUUUGGUGCUUAUAUAAAUCCUUACAUCAUCUAUCCACAAAACAUUGAUUGGUCACCCUUGAUGUUUGAGGCACUGUGCUAAACCUCAGGGAUAAGGACAUGAGGGGUCUGGCCGAUGCUGUCCACCGCGUCUGAGACCUCCCUUUGGGGCCAGACUCCUCCUGAGGGGGGUGCUUUACCUCAGGGGCACCAUGAAUCUUUCAAUUUUGCCAUGUAAGGUUCCUGCUCCCGCUUAGCCUUCUGCCAUGAGUGAAAGCUCCUUGAAGCCUCUCCAGAAGCUAAGCUGAUAUCGGUGCCAUGCUUCCUGUAAAGCCUGCAGAAACAGUCUCCUAGGAAAUAGACCGCAUAUUGGCCUUAAGGAGGUAUGUCAACUUGUAAGUCAAAAUAAUAUACAAACUGAGGCCCAGAACUGAACCAUUAGCCAUGGUAUUGGUAUCACUGUCAACUCAGACUCCCAGGCAACAGUGUAAAUGGAAUUGGAACACAGGGACCCUCUCCUCACCUCCGCCCCUUUGUUUCUCAAAUGUACAAAUUCUAAAUAAAAUAGAACAAAAUAAAUUUUGUUUGGCUUUAGAGAGUAUGUGUUCUUUCUUCCCAGCUUUACUGAGGCAUCAUUGACAAAAAUUGUAUACAUUUACUGUGUGAUGUGAUGUUUUAAUAUAUGUAUACAUUAUGAAAUAAUGUAAUAAUCAAGCUAAUUAAUACAUUCACCACCUCACACAGCUACCUUUUUUGUGUGUCUGUGGUGAGAACACUUGGGGAUGACUCUCAGCAAGUUUCAAGUGUAGAAUAUGGCACUGUUAACUAUAGUCACCAUGCUGUACGUUAGAUCUCCAGAACUUAUUCAUCCUGCAUAACCGAAACUUCGUAUCCUUGGACCAAGAUCUCCCCAUUUACCCCACCCUCCAUCCCCUGACAAUCACUAUUCCACUCUCUGCUUCCAUGAGUUUGACUUUGAUGGAUUUCAUAUGUAAGUGAAAUCAUACAGCAUUUGUCACAUGUGUCUGGCUUAUUUUACCUAUAGCAUAAUGUAAUCCAGGUUCAUCCACCGUGAUGGUUAAUACUGAGUGUCAACUUGAUUGGAUUGAAGGAUGCAAAGUAUUGUUCCUGAGUGUGUCUGUGAGGGUGUUGCCAAAGGAGAUUAACAUUUGAAUCAGUGGACUAGGAGAGGCAGAUCCACCCUUAAUCUGGGUGAGCACUAUCCCCUUGGCUGCCAGCAGAGCUAGAAAAAAGCAGGCAAAAGAAGGUGGCAUUAGCAGACUUGCUCAGUCUUCCAGCCUUCAUCUUUCUCCUAUGCUGUAUGCUUCCUGCCCUCAAAACAUCACAUUCCAAAUUCUUGAGCUUUUAGGACUGUUGGACUUACAUCAGUGGUUUGCCAGGGGCUCUUGGACCUUUGGCCGCAGACUGAAGGCUGCACUGUCAGCUUCCCUACUUUUGAGGUUUUGGGACUCGGACUGGCUUCCUUGCUCCUCAGCUUGCAGACAGCCUAUUGUGAGACUUCACCUUGUGAUGGUGUGAGUCAAUACUCUUUAGUAAACUCCCUUUCAUAUUAUACAUCUAUCCUAUUAGUUCUGUCCCUCUAGAGA